UAGCUCAGUUGGUAGAGCGCAACCUUGCCAAGGUUGAGGUCACGAGUUCGAACCUC
rnacentral:tRNA from 2 species